GCGCCCGUAGCUCAAUAGGACAGAGCGUCUGACUUCGAAUCAGCAGGCUGUGGGUUCAAGUCCCGCCGGGCGCG
rnacentral:tRNA from 2 species